UUGCUAAACAUAGGUGUUUUAUUAAAAGAUGCAUAGUUAGCCGACUUCGAGGGUUUCUCUAAGAGUCAUGGGUGAUACUUAUAUUUUAUAUUUGCAUAACUCAAAUCCCUCGAGUUGGUUUUCCUAGUCUGCCCAAAUACAAAUUUCAAGCCUUCACCUGUCCGGUGACUGAAAACUGUUCACCGCUAAAAAUGUUUAUUUUGUUCCCCUCAUUUUAAAUGGGGACAUUUAAAUUUUCUUUUUCUUCUUUUCAAUGUUUCAGGAAAUCUUGGGGCGUCCAAUCUCAACCAGGUCAUCCUUAGGCAAGUUACAUUUUACAUGGUUCAGUUUGAACU
rnacentral:lncRNA from 1 species